rnacentral:tRNA from 1 species
UCCCUGGUGGCUUAGAGGGUAAAGCAUCUGCCGGUCAUGUGGAAGACCCAGGUUCGAUCCCUGGGUUGGGAA